GACGAACGCUGGCGGCGUGCCUAAUACAUGCAAGUCGAGCGAACCAAUAAGAAGCUUGCUUUUUGUUGGUUAGCGGCGGACGGGUGAGUAACACGUGGGUAACCUGCCUGUAAGACCGGGAUAACUCCGGGAAACCGGUGCUAAUACCGGAUAGAUUAUCUUUCCGCCUGGAGAGAUAAGGAAAGAUGGCUUUUGCCAUCACUUACAGAUGGGCCCGCGGCGCAUUAGCUAGUUGGUGAGGUAACGGCUCACCAAGGCGACGAUGCGUAGCCGACCUGAGAGGGUGAUCGGCCACACUGGGACUGAGACACGGCCCAGACUCCUACGGGAGGCAGCAGUAGGGAAUCUUCCGCAAUGGACGAAAGUCUGACGGAGCAACGCCGCGUGAGUGAAGAAGGUCUUCGGAUCGUAAAGCUCUGUUGUUAGGGAAGAACAAGUAUCGGAGGAAAUGCCGGUACCUUGACGGUACCUGACGAGAAAGCCACGGCUAACUACGUGCCAGCAGCCGCGGUAAUACGUAGGUGGCAAGCGUUGUC
rnacentral:rRNA from 1 species